GGCUUAUAGAUUCUGACGGCACAAUCAAGCCGGCAAAACUAAGCGUGAGGGAUGCUAUGGCACGGCCUAAUGGUAGGAAGAUCGUGCUCAGGUUCAACAAUGCAAAGCAAGCAAUUGGAGACGAAGCUGGACUGUUGAGUGGCGUGCUUGGUCUGCUGGGAUCUGAUUAUGGAAAAUUUUCCAUCUGUAGGAAAAGUUGCAUCAGAUUACCACUAAAGACAAGGUUUAUAACGAAUGUGUCAAGCAAAUUUUCCACUUUGAUGAAGACAGCGAAGGAACUAUUAAGAAAAAUAUUUUGAAAAGUAUGGGGAAGGCUUAGAAGGAAACAAGGCUGAGGUUGUAUGACCGUUUUUAUGAGCCAACAUUCACUACUGAUCAAAAUCUUGAGAAUCGAUUGCCGGGAAUUGAUCGAGAGCAUUGGAGAUGGUUCCUUGACUAUCGCGCCGAACCUGAGACGAAGGAGAAGUGCAGAAAAAACACGGAGAAUCGAUCAAAACAACAAUAUACCCACACUGGCGGUUCGAAAAGCUUCGCACUGCGGAUGGAA